GAUCAACCCUCUUUUUUCCCCCUCCUGUGCUACUGAUUUGCUUACUGUGUAUUCGAUUCGCGUUGCCAUGAAGGCGAAGCUCUAUAUUUAGCCAGCAUCAGAAUCGGGUUUAAGGGAGUGGAAUAAUGAGUUGGAACUGCCAGUUUCAAUGAGUAAGGUAUUUAGAGCAAAAGCCUGCCGGAGGAUUUCUCUUUUAUGAUAUCAAUAUACACGUGAUUGGGAAGACAUAAAACGGGAUUUUGCCACGAGUCCACGGAGGCAACUUUUGGCUCUUCAGCAGAGAGUAGAUUGAGGGCAGGAGGCAUUUUUACUCCGCGACAAGCUCCCAGAGAAAUAGAGGCGCGGGCUCACUCCAGCGUACAGAAGGUUCAGUGAGGGCGAAGACUUUUGAGGCUUUGUGAGAAAUAAUGGCUGUCCACCCAUGAGAAAAAAACAACAGAGAAAUGGAAGAUGAGAGAUGAGAGAAAAGAAGAUUUUUCUCACCAUUAAAACUCAGAAGCUCUCAUAAAUAAAGUGAUCAAGGGGAGAAGAUAUCACUGACUACCUGGAUCACCUUGUUGGAUCAAUAUGGCCAUCCAUGACUUAUUAAUGAGAGGCAUCAGCAAGUCAAAUGUAAAGUAGAUAUUUGAAGUCAAAACGAUGCUGGGAAGGAUGAAAAGGCCAAGACAUUUGACUACUUGGCCUUAAGGCACAAAUUUGGACCAUUGUCUGCAUGGUUUAUCUUUGCAUACUGUUAGGAAAACUCGGUCUUUUUUUUUUUACUGUUCACAAUAUUCAGCUUAGUGUGUUCUUUGUUGUGCGUUUAAAGAAACAUUGUAGAUGUCUUUAUAUUUCUGGUUUUCAGUUUUGCAUAAGUGAAUUAAAAAUCCAGAAUCAUUAUUGUUAUAAAAUACAUGUGCCUAUUCUGAUAAUACCCUAACUUUCAAUAUAGUAAAAAAAAAAACCCUAAAAAGUUUAGUAAAACAUAUUAAGUGUGAUAAUAAGUUAUAAUUAAAUCAUUUCCUUUUCCUAUUCAAAUAUCCAAUGAAAAGCUUUAUCAGCCAGGGAAGCAGAAGGUAGAUUAGGUAUCCCAAAACAACUGAAGUAAUAGCAAUGCUAUCGUUGUUCAUUGUUCCACAAACAAAACAAAAAAGCACUCCAGAGUUUCUAUAGAUUUUGGUAUCAUAGACUAUUUCAUAUCUCCUAAUAGUAAUGCUGGUGAGAAAUACUCUUUUAUGUUGAUGACUUCAGAGGCUUUUGUCAAAGACAAAGAAUAGACACUAGCCCAGUCAAUGAAUUUGGGCCAAUUUGGGAACCACAACUAUGCAAAUCUACUGGGAUCCCCCAGUACAUUGUACAACAUUUGGACUCAAAGCGGCAGCACUUUAUCGAUAGCACCUCAGUUGCCUUGACAUUUGAUUGAAUUUGUCAGCUACUGGCCAGUAGCAGUCAGGGGAGGCAAGAUUCCCCACCAGAAUUUGGGAUCUUCACAGGGUGUUAUUCAUGUUUUCUUGUGUCUUUUUUACUGAUAUGUUGUGUGUGGUCUUGUUGAAAACCCAAUGUUAUGCUGUAUUUAUAUUACUUUUAUCACUGUAUGGAUUAUGUUAUGCUGUCUGUAUAUAUCUUUAUGUUUUUGGACAUUGUUUAAUCAAAGGAAGUCAGAGAGGUGCAUAUUUGAAAAGGAAAGCAGGUUAAACUGCUAAGUAUUUCUUGCCAUUGUGUUAGUAGGGCAAGGACAAUUGCCACUCCAAAUGGCAGAAGGGGCCACUAGUGGGACUGAUAUCCAAGGCAUUGUCUGCUUGUACUGGGAAAAAUAAUCCCAUAGCAGAAGGGGUUUCAGAGCAAUGGCCCAUUACCUAGAGAAUUCUGAGACCCAUGAGCAAUAAAGACAAUGCUGAUGAGGGCAGGGAAGACCAUUUCUAGAUAUUUUAUGGCUAUCUGUGAGGUGGUCCUGGUUCUUGGAGUUUCUGGCCAUGUCUACAUGAGUGGGGGACUGUGCAGUGGUCAGUAGGCAUUACUGCACACUACCACAACCACACUCUUUUUUCCCAAUUCUCAUGUGCAUUAUGUGUGCAGUAUCAUUGCCACAUGGUUAGUGCUUGGCAACGCUACUGCACGGUAGCAACAAGCUACUGCACAAUAGGUUGUAGUGUCUCAUGUAGAUGCCCCCUCUGAGUCUGUAGGAGGGUCCAAGUCUCCAGCAGUCAGAAUUGGCAGGGUCAGCAGAAUGGCUGAUCUUUGAAAAAUCCUGGUAGGAUUCUCUGAAAAAGUUUAGUUUGUAGCCUGAUGAGAGGGUAUGAAACUUAUCUUGUCUUUUUGUUUUGCCUUCAAACUUAAUGGCCAGUUUUGCUUGUAUUAUUCUUUUCUCCUAUAUAGAAAGUCCACUUGUUAUUUUGUCUCCUUACUGAUUGCCUGUGUUGAAGAGCGAUCCCUGGGUGAGUGAAAUUCCAGGGUAAUUCAUGCUAAGGAAAGGGGGAUGUAAAAAUUAUUUCAUAACCCAAUGGGAAAUCACCUCUAGCUGGCAGAGAUCCCCCUGCUGUAGCUUUGAGGGCCUGUAAAGGGCUGUGAACCUGAGUUUUGUGGGAAUAAGAAGUUAUCCUAGGGCAAACCUUUGUGACAAGCAGCCUAGGCAGCAGAGAGAAAUGCAGGGCUCUGGGGUACUCCAUGGAUGGGUCUGUGACGGUAAAGUCCAUAUGCAUCUGCUGGUUUUGAAUAGUGUUCACACUGCAGGUGUUCCACUACUGCAGCUGCAGAAUGCACUUUGCAUAGGUAGGAAAGUGGCUUUUGACAUCCUGCAGUUUUGCAGCCACCGCUGUUCACGCCAGAUGUGUCUCACCAUGCCAUAUGAGUGAGCAGUGCUAUUUGACUGAGCCUCAAAGUGGUGCUUUCCUGAGUGAAACUGCUCUGAGAAAAGAUCUAAAGAAGUACCUGUUUAAUUUAAGUUUCUUUCAUCUCUGGUGCUCUACUUUCUAUGGUGUUGAAAUAAGUGCAUGACUUUAGAUACACUUGGAGCAGCAUAUUUAUAUUAAUCCCCACAAGACUCAUAGAGUUCCCCCAUGUUUCCUCCUUCCUGCCUGACUGUGCUUUGGAACUGGCACUGGCUCACACAAAAGUGAUGGAAUGAAACAAGAGAAAAUAUGAAAAUUGAAUAUUUUGUCCCAAGCCUCUGAAUUCUAGUACAUUCUGGUAGGUAUUGCAUAAUGUACAACAUGAAAGAGAGAGAAACUGGACAGUACAGAAGUGGAACAAAGCACCAUGGGAUAUCUGAGCAGAAUGCUGAGUACUAGUUUUGAAACAUCACCUUGCCAUAUCUCCACAAGGAUUCAUUUAUAUUUAUCCCCACAAUCCAGCCAAAAGCACCUGGACUGUUGAAUAACAAUGCAUUGUGUUCACACUGCUUGUGACAAUUCCUGUAGAUCACCUAUCAAAAAUAGGAAAAAAGCCUGCAAAAGUUUCAUACUAUAAGUACCAAGCUUCUUGUGAAACACUUCCUUAUUUAGAAGUUAAUAGGGAAAAGCAGGGACAGGAAAUGCCUAGCUGUGAAUUCUCCCAUUACAGCUUCCUCUUACAAAGCAGAAGUGACUUGGCGUUCAUGAAGCAAUGUUUUCUUUAAUUCAUGGUUAACUUCUACUCCACUUCAACUCCAUUCCAUUUACCAUUCUUUCUUAACUUCUGAAACAAGAGGGCCCAACUUAGGGUUUAAAUGCCCAAGAUCUACAGCAAUCACAAGAAUAAUUUUCAAAGACUAAAUGGAUUAAGUCAAUGAAAGUUGGGCAUGUAACCUGUAUAGCCCCCACCCCUCUUUGAAGAGAGAAAUAAAUGUAUGUCUCACUAUAUGUUCAGUGUCAUGGGUUCCUGUUACUGUUGAUAAUUCAGGCUAGUAAGGCAGAGACAAAGGAACAAAAAUAUUCUGUUCAGAGGCCAGCUACAAGGUAAAGAUUUGAAUAAUAUUUUCUUUAAGCUUGUCCUCUUGAAUAACAUUAUUGAAGAAAAUUCAAAACCAUUAUUUUUGCACUUCAGCAUUUUAAAGGCUACUCAGAUAGCUAAGGGACUGAGGCAUAUGAUGUAUGAGGAGAGGCUGAGAGAACUGGUUUUAUUUAGUCUGGAGAAGAGAAGAUUGAGAGAACGCAUCUACAUGUGUCAUUAGGGCCAUGUCAAGGUGAGCAUAGAUGUUUGGUUCCCUGGGGACAAGUAGCAGUGGCAUGCCUUGUGCCACUGCUACUUGUGCCCCGGGGAAUGCCUGUGCCAUGCAGUAGAUUACCCUGGGUGGGGUAGGAGAGGCUGGGACCAGCAACUGUGCUGGACCCAGAAGCCUUACCUGCGGUUCUGGAGACUGUGGAAGUUGCAUUUGCAGCGCUUCUGCAGCUGGGAGUCUUGCUGGCAGCUGGAGCAUGGCUCUGGGUGGCCAGGCUCUGGUUUUGUGUGGUGUGCACUGCCAUCACAUGUGUCACUCUGCUUUUUUCUGCACAGGUCAAAAAAUACCCCACGUUGUCAGGUAGUAGCACAGGGAACACCUGAAUGUGCAGUGUGUGGCGCUACAGAUGGGUCUGCAGCGCCACAUACUGCAUGGCCGUGCUUGUCUGGAUGUGACGUAGGGGGCAGCAAUAAGCUGCAGAUUGCUCUGCAGUUUAUUGCUCCUGGGUACGCAUCUGUAUGUGUGCCUGGAGCACAGCAUAUUGAGCCAGGUCGCAGCAGCCCCAGCUGCAGGGAGCCCAGGGGGUCAGCCUGCCAGUCUGGGGCUGUUCCAACUGGGCUCAAUGUGCUGCAGAGGGGACUGGUUGGGGCAGUGAGGGUGCUUUAGUGUGGGGCAGUGAGGGUGCUUUAGUUGGCUCUCAGUCCUGGCGCUGAAGCACCCUCAUGCCCCAACCAGCUGGUCAUUAUCUACAUGUGCAUUGCUGUGCAUGAAAAAACUCCACAGUAGGGUAGGACUUGUAAAUACAGUCUGCUACAGAGUUUAUUAGUUUCAUGUGCCCUAAUAGGCCAAUAAAUAUCUCAUGUAGGCAUGCCCAGAGGGGAUUUAAUAACAGUCUUCAACUAUCUGAAAGGUGGUUACAAAGAGGAUGGAGCUAGACAGUUCUCAGUGGUAGCAGAUGACAAAACAAAGAGCAAUGGUUUCAAGUUGCAGCAAGGAAAGUUUUGGUUAGAUAUUAGGAAAAACUUUCUCACUCAGAGGCUGCAUUUAUACGGGAUGCUGACUGUGCAGUCAUAACUGAGCAGUCAUUUCGUGCUUGUAUAAACAAGUACAAAAUGACUGUGCAAUAACCGGAGUUACUGUAUAGCAUCACUGAACGGCUUUUAGGUGAUGCUGACUGUACAGUAGCUUGUUACUACUGCACAUUAGUAUUGCAUUGCGCUUCCUGCCACAUGGUGCUACUGUGCAGUAGUAACGAACUACUGCACAGUUAGCGUCUCUUGUAGACAUGGCCAGAGGGUAGUAACGCACUGGAACAGACUAUCCAUAGGGGCUAUGGAAUCUCCAUCCUUGGAGAUUUUAAAACCCAGCUAGGCAAAGCGUGGGGUGAGAUGAUAUCAUUGGCCGUGUUUAUACGAAACAAGGGGCAUAUGUGCAUGACACUUUAAAGGGGGCUAAAUGCUUUUGCACUGCUUUAAUGGUUUUGGUAUUUGCAUGCCUUGGCAGUGUAUUGCACAUUCAUUCCAGCUGCAGUAGGAAAUUUGGUGGCCUAAUGCACCUUAAAUGACAUGGGGUGCAGCAAACUAAAACUCCUUCGAGGAGUUCUAGUUUGCUAUCCCUACAGCCACGGAGUGAAGCACUGGGCUCCACGCAGCUCAGGGGCUCUUCAGGAAGCUUUGUAGGUAGCCUGGCAGCAGCCCAGGAAAUAGAGCUCCACCCAAGAAAAGCAGUGAGCCUGAUUCCCCCCCAACCCCCUGGAGCCUGUCUGCCCGCCUGAGCUGCGUGGGGGUCUGGUUCUUCUCUCCGCAGCUGCGGUGCCCUCCAGUGCUGCCCAAGCUGGGUUUAAAAACUCACUGCUUCAAUGUAGGGCCCCUGUUUCAUCUACACAUGCCCAUUAUGGAUGGUCCUGCUUUGAGCAGGGGGUUAGACUAGAUGACUUCCUGAGGUCCCUUCAACCCUCAUUUUCUCUGAUUCUAUGAUUUUGUGAUUCAUCACCAGGUUGAUUUUGCAUUUGCUAUACUUUCUGGAUUCUCUGAACAAUUAUAUAGGUGGUGAUUUUCUUUGGGUGACAAUUUUAUAAGGAUUUUUACCUUCAACUGGAUCCAUACAUAUAGAGCACUUGGAGUUAUAUUUCAUUGCAUGUAUGUUUUUCUCUUUUCCUGACUAAAGCUAAAAGCUUCAUCUAUGAUAUUUCUGUCGGUGAGAGAACAACUCUGUUGAAAAGCUCUUUAAAAGUAUUACUCCAGCCCUGAAAUGAAGGUCAUAUGUUCAAUAGGUGAAUAUAACCAUUUAUACUUUACUAACCCCUUUGAUGCCAAAGUUCAAGAUUUUGUGAAAUAAUUUCUAGUGAAAAGAAAUAUCAUUGGAGCCACAGAACUCUUCAUACCAAGGGUUAAUGCUAAGAGCUUGCUGGGCUUUGGAAUGUGCCUAUCUAGACAAGCAGGGAAUUUGAAUGGGAAUUGUCAAGGUUCAAAUACUGCUUUUUAACAUGACCUAGUUGGAUCAGCAUGGCCAUCUGUGGCUUUCAAUAAUGAGAGGCAUCAGCAGGUCAGAUGUGAAGUAGAUCUUUGAAGUCAGAGGGUCAAAUUCAUCCCAUGGUGUAAUUCCAUAGGAAUUACUUUACCUCCAUUUGUGAAAAUUAACAGUUUUCCUCCGCCUUUCAUGUUCAAACAUUUAUUUUAGCUUUCUAUUUUGCAGAAUAUGCACUGGAAGGGGCCAACCUAUUUGAAUAACAUGAUUAUGGGGAGAGGAGAGGAUAUAUUUUCAAAUUUCUAGUCAAAAUCAGACUUGUAAUAGAAAGUUGCAGUGAUAACCAAGGGUGCCUAUUGCCCCUUCACCUUGCAUUUUAAAUGUUACAGCCAUGAUGAUAUCUAGGUACAAAGCCAAGAUGUAAAGAUCCGAAGUUUGUUACACAAAGAACAAAAAAAACAAAAAGGGAAAAAUACUCCAUGACUGUCCUACAGCCUGUUGCAACCCACAAUGUAAAAGUCCAUUGUUUUACAUAAUACACCAGUUCUUUUUUCCAGACUUUUUUGGCAAGGUAGAUGCAGAUUAUUCAAAUGUUAUGUGAUAACAUGUCUAUUUAUGUGAGCCUGGAAAUAAGUUGGAUAAGAUGUGCUCUUAUCCAUUGUUUUAGCAUGUAGAGAGCUAAGUAGUUUACAUGUUAAUGUGUAAGGACUCAUAUUUACAUUAAAUGAGAGAUGAAUAUCAUUUUUCAAAAUUCUUGAAAUAAAUUAUAACGUUAUGCAGUGUGUCUUACCAUCUUCAUUAGCAACAGGGGACCAUUCAGCUCACCAUUUGUUAUGUUUCCUUCAUGUAUAAUAUGUUUAAACUACUACUUGCAAACAUAUAUCUUUGCAAUAUUAUUCUAAGUGGUUGGGAGUUUAUUCACUCCUUUUUUAAUUAAAAAAAAUCUUGAACCAACAACAGGAUUAUGCUCAUGAAAUCAAGGAUUAUAAAGUAUCCCAACUGCUACUGACAGUUUUCUUUUUUAACCAGAAAUUCAAACUUUAUGUAAAAAGAGAGAGAGAGAAGAGCAUUUUGAAAGGUGCCUAUUUGUAUAAUCAAAAAAGGGUUGUGAAGUAAUGGCAAGUCAGGAGAUAAAAGUCAAUAUUGGGGAGGUGAGGAUGUUGGGGUGAUUCUGAACUCAUUGAUGUGGAGAGUACUGGGACAGAAGAGCUAAAUAAUGUGCAAUUCCUACUACUUAGCAUGAAGGAUUUAUAAAUCUUGUUGAAUUUCAUAAAGAUCUCAAGAUAGAAAAAAAUAACACAACAGCGACAGACUGAGUGACUGUAUGCCAUGCACCUGUCUCCUUGCAGCUGGUAAUGGGCACUUAGGAAGUUUUCCAGGUGCUUACAUACACACAAAUACACGCUUACACUCACCACCCCAUCUGCACAGAAACAAUCUUAUUUUUUAUCUUGCAGCAUUGUCUAAAUAUGAACUAGCCCAGCUAAUUAGCAGUACAAUCUGAACUGUUAUUUGUUGGUUCUGUCAAAUUUACUUACUUUAGGUCUCCAAAACUAUUGUAUUCAGGCUUGCUUGUGAUCCUGUAACCUUGAUCCUUUUAUGUAUUGCAUGCAACACUCUCCUCCCUUGUACAGUGAACACCUCUUGCCAUAUUAUAUAUUAUGGCUUUGGCUACCAUGUCUGUUAAUCAGCAUUAAAGGGAAGUACUCUGUAGUAUCACUCUCAAGCCAGGGACCAUGUGUUCUUUAUCUUCUGCAGUGGCAACCACACUGUCACUGCUUCACAAGUAAAUGCUGAUAUACAAGCUGCAUAAAUCAUGAUGAUGAUCUAUAGCAAUGCAAAUGAAUGGAAAAAUUGAAUCACUGUGAAGAGAGCUGCAUCUUCCUUAUGUUACUGUUAAUUCAAAAACACAGGAUGGACUAUUGCAUUAUCAUUAUGAAAAUUCUACAUUAAAUAUGUUACUUUAAUCAUAA